UCCAAACAACACGACAUUGAGUGGCCCACAAUUACGGAAGAAUUUGGGAUGAUAGGGGCUAAAGUCCAAGCAAAAACCAAGCCCAAACUGUAACAUCAAUUACCGUUGCGCCGAAUGAUUCACGUGGGGCCAGAUAGCAGUGAACCCACAUGCGCUGCAGCAGUGUGUGUUAACUUGCAAUCGCACUAUCAGAUUCUCAUGUCCCCGUAAUUCUUCAUCAUCCUCAUGCC
rnacentral:lncRNA from 1 species